GGGUCCGUAGCUCAGCCUGGAGGUGCUUUCUGAAAAGAAGCAUGCAGGCAAUAGUAGCGAUUCGCUCUUAACGAAUAGGUCGAGGGUUCGAAUCCCUUCGGACCCG
rnacentral:tRNA from 1 species